rnacentral:rRNA from 1 species
CCUGGCUCAGAACGAACGCUGGCGGCAUGCCUAAUACAUGCAAGUCGAACGAGAUCUUCGGAUCUAGUGGCGCACGGGUGCGUAACGCGUGGGAAUCUACCCUUGGGUUCGGAAUAACGUCGGGAAACUGACGCUAAUACCGGAUGAUGACGAAAGUCCAAAGAUUUAUCGCCCAGGGAUGAGCCCGCGUAGGAUUAGCUAGUUGGUGAGGUAAAGGCUCACCAAGGCUACGAUCCUUAGCUGGUCUGAGAGGAUGAUCAGCCACACUGGGACUGAGACACGGCCCAGACUCCUACGGGAGGCAGCAGUAGGGAAUAUUGGACAAUGGGGGCAACCCUGAUCCAGCAAUGCCGCGUGAGUGAUGAAGGCCUUAGGGUUGUAAAGCUCUUUUACCCGAGAUGAUAAUGACAGUAUCGGGAGAAUAA